rnacentral:sRNA from 17 species
CGUAUCCGACCCCACCGCUUGCCCGCUCCCCGGCCACGGCACCAACCCGAUCGCCGCCGGUUCCGGCGACGU